CAUAUAAUAAACAUGGUCUGAUCCCCAGGCCAAAGAAAUUUUUUUUUGUUGUGUGGCUGUGUUAUUAUUGUGUAAAUAAGAAGGUACUCUUAAAACCUGGAGUUUUUCCAAAAAAAUGUGUUGUAUGGGAUGACAGCAAAAAGAAUGAUGAUCCCUUCAAAGUAUUAAAUAACACACUUUCAACUGUGAAUAGCAACAAACGUGCAGCAGAAGAAAUAUUAGAAAGUGAAAAUGUUAAAAUUCAAGUAAUUUCGUCAGAAUCUUCUAAUGAAAUUGAAAUAUUAAAGAAACAAUUGCAAAAUGAACGUGAAUCGCAUCAGCAAGAACUAAAGAGACAAGCAGAAGUGUUUCAGAAGAUUCUGGAAAACGAAAAGUCGAAACUUACGUCCAAGAUUGCAUCUAAACGACAAGAAUUGUAUACCUUACUACGUAGUGUAAAACGAGGAAAAGAGGAACGCAUUUAGAGUAUGAAACAUUUAUUUGAGGAAUUGAAAAAGAAAUAUAGGGAUUUUGAAUUUGCCACAUCCAUUGAGCAUUAGGCAUUGGCAUUCAAAUGUAAAUGCUGAACCUGGAUUCCACAAAGAGAUAAUUUCAUUACUAAAGAAUUUGCCUUCAAUAGAUAAAGAUUGCAACAUGAUCUUUGACAGCAUGUCAAUACGGCAGCAAUUACUUUGGAAUGAACAGGAAGGAAAACUUGUUGGAUAUGUGGAUUAUGGAAAUGAUAUUCAUAUAAAAGAGAAAGACUCAUUAUCAAAUGAAGCAUUAGUAUUUAUGCUGGUUGCCCUUAAUGGUAAAUGGAAAUGGCCUAUUGCUUAUUUUUUGAAGAAAUUUUUAUCUGGCGCUAUACUUGCGGAAUUAAUUUUGUCUGCCUUAUCUUUGACAAGUAAUAGUGAGUUAAAAGUACGAUCUAUUACAUGUGUGUGUGUGUGUGUGUGUGUGCGACGGCGCAACCAUUAAUGUAAGUGCAUUUAAUCAGCUAGGAUGUAAUAUUUAUGAGAAAAAUUAUGAAUCUAUUAUUAACAGUUUUAAGCAUCCUACACAAAAUUAUAAUGUUUAUGUCAUACUAGAUGCGUGUCAUAUGUUAAAAUUAGCUCGUAAUGCAUUAGCAGAUUUGAAAGAAUUUCUUACAAAUGAUGGUAAUAUUGAAUGGCGAUAUAUAAUACAAUUAUAUCAAAUGCAAAAUGAAUUAACUUUUAAAUUUAAAAACAAAUUAAGUUCUCAAUGCAUUAAUUGGUGGCAAAACAAAAUGAAAGUUAAAUAUGCCGCUCAAACGUUAAGCUCAUCUGUAGCAACAGCNAUUGAAUUUUUAAAACAAUAUUGUCCCGAAUUUUGCGACUCUGAAGCAACAAUAACAUUUAUUAAGGUUAUAGACAGAUUAUUUGACUUUAUGAAUUCGAGAAAUCCUUUUGGAAAAGGAUUUCAUCAACCUAUAACUCGAAAUAACUUAAAUGCAUUAGAAACAAUGAUAUAUAUAUAUGUAUAUAUACAUAUACUUGCGCGCAAAAUUAU